UACCAGACUCCUACGGGAGGCAGCAGUGGGGAAUAUUGCACAAUGGGGGAAACCCUGAUGCAGCGACGCCGCGUGAGUGAAGAAGUACUUCGUUAUGUAAAGCUCUAUCAGCAGGGAAGAAAAUGGCGGUACCUGAGUAAGAAGCCCCGGCUAACUACGUGCCAGCAGCCGCGGUAAUACGUAGGGUGCGAGCGUUAAUCGGAAUUACUGGGCGUAAAGGGUGUGCAGGCGGUUUUGCAAGAUGGAUGUGAAAGCCCCGGGCUUAACCUGGGAAGGCCAUACAAGACUGCAAGACUAGAGUGCGUCAGAGGGGGGUGGAAUUCCAAGUGUAGCAGUGAAAUGCGUAGAUAUUUGGAAGAACACCGAUGGCGAAGGCAGCCCCCUGGGACGCAACUGACGCUCAUACACGAAAGCGUGGGGAGCAAACAGGAUUAGAUACCCUGGUA
rnacentral:rRNA from 1 species